GCCCAGGUGGUGUAGUGGUAGCACGCUUCCACGGUAUAGAUGGAGUGCGAGUUCGACUCCCGCCUGGGGUC